GUACACGCUGUGACUAGCAUAUCAAUAAGCGGAGGAAAAGAAACUAACAAGGAUUCCCCUAGUAACGGCGAGUGAAGCGGGAAGAGCUCAAAUUUGAAAUCUUAAAGGGUUUCCCUUUACGAAUUGUAGUUUAAAGAAGUGUUUUCUGUUGAGGUUUUGGUAAAAGUUCUUUGGAAUAGGACAUCAUAGAGGGUGAGAAUCCCGUAUUUGACCUUUACUUUCAACUUUGUGAUACACUUUCAAAGAGUCGGAUUGUUUGGGAAUGCAGUCCAAAAUGGGUGGUAAAUUUCAUCUAAAGCUAAAUAUUGGCGAGAGACCGAUAGCGAACAAGUACCGUGAGGGAAAGAUGAAAAGAACUUUGAAAAGAGAGUUAAACAGGUACGUGAAAUUGUCAAAAGGGAAGCGUUUGACACCAGUGUUGUUUUUCUGAAAAUCAAUUAAAGAACUGUUUAUGCUAAGCUGUUUAGACUUUAUCAGCUAUCUGUUUAGUUUUGAGCUUUUCUUUAAUGCACUUUUCAGUUAACAAGUCAACAUCAAUUUCUUUUGCUGUAAAAAAGCUUGAGGAAGGGUGGCUUGAGAUUCGUCUUAAGUGUUUAUAGCCUCUUGCCUAUGCAGUCGGAGAGAUUGAGGUCUGCAGCGUAGAUCCUUCGGGGCUAAAUGCAUUUGUGCUAAGUUAUAGCAUUUUAUAGACAACUUGUUGACUAUGAUUUGUCUUGUAGCUUACUCGCUUAUGUUAUUUUACCUACGCUUAGGAUGUUGAUAUGCAUGACUGAUAU
rnacentral:rRNA from 1 species